AGUAGGAAGUCCUGAUAAAGGAGGCCGUACCUGCCAAUCAAUACCUACCAAAGGAAAAGAAGCAAGAGAUUUUAUAAAUAGUUCUAAGCAAGAAGACAAAAAUAUAUUACGGAAGCUCCUGGAGAGUGUGAUCUAUCAACAUGAGCGAAUAAAUAAACAACAACAACAACAACAAAAGGCAGGUGUGAAAUCUAGGAAAUCAGAUGGAAUACAGAAUGAGGCAGAGAUGUCAGUGCUGGCUGCUAACCAAGCCUGGAGAGCAACCAGGGCAGCAACAAGAAGGUGCCAUCUCCUCAAACACCUGAGUGGAGCCAUGUGGAUAUCCGAGGUCGUUUGGGGCAGAGACUCUGGAGCACAGCAGACAUACCUGUGAAAUGGCAUGGAGGCCCAUAUGGCUGGAAGACAGUGAGUAGCAGGGAAUAAGAUCAAGAAAGCAGUGGGAAACCAGACAGAGCAAAGCCUUACAGGUGAUUCCAAGGACUUUGGGUUUAACUCUGGGUGAGAUGGGAAACAUCUUGAAGGUUCUGAGUAGGAAAGUUAACAGGAUCUAACAGGAUUUAACCUUUUAGACAAGUAAAGCCAGAGUUCAGUCUGACUGCUAUACUUAAGGAAAGGCUGUGGGUUGGCAAAGGUUGAAGUGGCAAGACCAGGUUAGCUGCCCUCCAGCCAACUCCCCACAUGACAUUUCCAUUACGAUAUGGCAAAGGCACUUCACACUCAACAUGUCUAAGACCCACCUCUUUCCAUGCCCUGUACUGUGCCCCACAAACCACAUCCUUUUUCAGCAUCCCCAGCUCUACUGAACAGCACUACAAUUUACGCUGUUAUGCAAACCAGGGCCCCAUGAAUUCUGCUCUAUAUCUCCCUGUCAUUUUCCAGAUCCAAUCCAUCACCUAGUCCUGUGCGCUUUGCCCCACCCCCAAUUGCUCUCAAAUCCAUCCUCGUUAGCUCCAUUUGUUUAGUGCCCUUUAGCGAGGACCUAUUAUAGGGGAGGCACUGUUCUGAGGACAGCGGGCAUGGUGGUGAGCAAGGCAGACAGGGCCUUGCCUUCACAGAGCCUCACUGUAAGAAAGCUGGACCUAAGAUUUUAGAACCCCCCCCCUUUUUUUGUAGGCUCCAUGGAGCCCUGGGCCUAAG